rnacentral:rRNA from 1 species
UGAGGAAUAUUGCGCAAUGGAGGCAACUCUGACGCAGCCAUGCCGCGUGCAGGAAGAAGGCGCUACGCGUUGUAAACUGCUUUUAUCCGGGAAGAAACCCUCCGACGUGUCGGGGGUUGACGGUACCGGAGGAAUAAGCACCGGCUAACUUCGUGCCAGCAGCCGCGGUAAUACGAAGGGUGCAAGCGUUAUCCGGAUUCAUUGGGUUUAAAGGGUGCGUAGGCGGGGCGAUAAGUCAGUGGUGAAAUCCUGCAGCUCAACUGUAGAAUUGCCAUUGAUACUGUCGUUCUUGAGUACGCUCGACGUAGGCGGAAUGUGCCGUGUAGCGGUGAAAUGCUUAGAUAUGGCACAGAACACCAAUAGUGAAGACAGCUUACGAGGGCGAAACUGACGCUGAGGCACGAAAGCGUGGGGAUCGAACAG